AAUACUUGAAUGACUGAGUAAGACAACUCGUAUCCAAGCAUUUGAGAAGAGGAAUUGAAAACUCAAAACCAUCUCCUUUUUCGUAUAGUUUGUCAUAAAAAUGAUUUGAUUAACUUGUAUGUUUGUGAAAAAUGACAAUUGUUUGACUGACCGAGUAAGAGAACUCGUAUUCAAACAAUUGGGGAGAGAAGUUGAAGGCUCAAAA
rnacentral:lncRNA from 1 species